ACUGGGUCGUCUUUGGAGAGAACAAGAGCAGGGCCUGCUAUUCCUUGAACUUCUGGAGUUGUUUGCUUGCCCUCAUCCAGGUCUCAAUGAAAAAUACCCAGCCAGUAUGGUCACCAGCCAUAUAUAGAUCCUAUAGGCCCACUCUUCUCUUUCCAUGAUUGCAAAUACAGGCUACUCCUGCUUGGACCAGUUGGUUUAUACAUGUGAAAAGAGGAACCUUCAAUUUGACCAAUUCACAUUGCAUUUACGGGAGCAAGAAACUGGACGAAGUGGAAGCAGCUUACAAUAAAUGGUAGCAAAUGAAGUGGAUUUCCAUUGGCUUUAAUACGACGAGCCACAAAUCUCACCAGUCACAGCGUGAAACAGCAGUGUUCCGUUCCAUCACUUCAGGAAGCCAGGAGCGUCAUGUGCUGAUCUAUGACGUGCCCGUGAGUGACUGGAGCCACGGCUUUCAGAAGCGUAUGGGGAAGCCCAGGCAAGUGCAGAACCACCUUUCAAAUCUUCCUCACAUAACAGAGACACCAUGCUUUCCGAUUUAUUCUGUGGGUCAGGAAAGCUACAACGAUCAUCUGCUAGCAGGUCAUCACAACUACGAGAUUUCCGCUUGGGAGAAGAAGUCUCUUCCGUGCUGCUCCAGAUUUCUGCAUUCUGACGGGACAUUUGCCAGCCAUUCUUGUAGCUGAUUGCCCUUCUUGAGUCACUUGGCACAGCCAAGCGCUGUCCAUAGGUUCUACAGUAAUCUAAUUCAUUUGAGCUGCUGUAGUUGGGCACUGAGUAACUGGAAAGGGGUGAACACACUUUGCUAAUAUCCCCACCUUUAUAAUCCACAGAGCAGCAUGGUGAAAAAGAGACAUUGCCAGAAAUUAACAGAUUCAAAAGCAGAAAGGAAAUAAGACAAUCAGCACAUGACAGAAAGAACAGAGAAAAGGCAGUUAGUCUUCCUAACCUAGCAUUAAGCACUAAUGUAAAAUACACAUUACCAAAGCGUAGAGGAGGAAAAACAGAUUAAGCAUUUAUUAGAUCCUGGGCUGCAAUCCUUUACACACUUAUCUGGGAGUAAGCCUCAUUGAAAUAAAUGGUACUUUUGAUUUGAGUAGACAGGUAUAGGAUUGCACUGUUAAAAUCUAAAGGUUCAGCAAAUUGAAUCACAUGCUUCUACUAACAGUUAAAUAUUUUUAUAGGUUGUGGUGGGAGGACAGAGCAUCUGUUUCCAGCAAAUCUACCACAACUGUCUCAUUUCUGACCAUAUGAAAAUCCAUGGGUUUAUACGCAAUGAUCAUGUCACCUCUUUAGGGCAAUCAAAGCAGACAGGUUUUGUUCAGAAACUGAUAGCAAGGCAUAGCUAGAAAUGUAGAGAUAGACUUUUAACCUAGACACUUCUAAACUAUCUUUCCCUUUCCUUAAGAGGCUGCACCCUUACCAGUUUAUGCAGUUUAACAGUGAACAAAUGAGAAUUUGUUAUAUAAUGCUCUAGUAGCCACAGCCACAGACUAUUUUUGAGAUUCAUAUCCUCAUUCAAACUCCUGUGUAUGACAGAAGGUAUAGCAUUCUUUUUAUCUUCAAAAAUAGAACAUUUUUUCUGUCCAGACAACAAAAGAAAUGCAAUUAAAUGGCAUGUCAUACAUUACAGUCACAAAUGCUGACUGCAUUUAAAAAAA